CAAGCCUGACCCAGCGACGCCGCGUGCAGGAGGAAGUCCUUCGGGAUGUAAACUGCUGUCAGGGGCUAGCAAGCAAAGGGUGUUAACAGCAUCCGGCGUUGAGCCGCCCCAGAGGAAGCCUCGACUAACUCUGUGCCAGCAGUCGCGGUAAGACAGAGGAGGCAAGCGUUGUUCGGAAUCACUGGGCUUAAAGCGCGUGUAGGCGGCGGCGCAAGUGUCGUGUGAAAUCCCACGGCUCAACCGUGGAACUGCACGGCAAACUACGUCGCUUGAGGUUGGUAGAGGUGCCUGGAACUCUCGGUGGAGCGGUGAAAUGCGUUGAUAUCGAGAGGAACGCCGGAAGCGAAAGCGAGGCACUGGGCCGAUUCUGACGCUGAGACGCGAAAGCGUGGGGAGCAAACA
rnacentral:rRNA from 1 species